rnacentral:rRNA from 1 species
CAGCCGCCACGGUAAUACGGAGGGUGCAAGCGUUAAUCGGAAUUACUGGGCGUAAAGCGUGCGCAGGCGGUUAUAUAAGUCAGAUGUGAAAUCCCCGGGCUCAACCUGGGAACUGCAUUUGAGACUGUAUGGCUAGAGUGUGUCAGAGGGGGGUAGAAUUCCACGUGUAGCAGUGAAAUGCGUAGAUAUGUGGAGGAAUACCGAUGGCGAAGGCAGCCCCCUGGGAUAACACUGACGCUCAUGCACGAAAGCGUGGGGAGCAAACAGGAUUAGAUACCCCGGUAGUCCCUGUCUCUUAUAC